UUGAGGUUAGUAACUGAAGGGGGGGGAGUGAUCAGGAUUAGGGUUACCGCCACUACUUUCUACUGGAACAGUCAUAAUUCAUCUUUACAUCACCGCCAGAUAUGGGAGCUGGAGCUGCCAAACCCACCAUACAAGACACCUGUACUGGCCCUGGGGCUGUGAUUUGCUGUUUGGCGUCAGUUUGAUGGAAAUCUAGUUUUCUGCAAAAGGUUGUUCUGGGAGCAAUCACCUGCACUAACCUGUGGCCUGUGAUUUGCUGCUUGGAGAAGAUUGCUGAUUGACACCAGUAUGCUACUUAGUGAAAGCAAUAAAACAUAAAGUAUGUUGCCUCUGAAUGAUCUGCUGUAUUCUAGUACUGAACUGACAGGAGGAUGAUGCCUGAUAUGCUGUUGCUGAAGAUGUAAUGUUAAGGUCUUGAGGUUUUAAGUCUGUUCCAUACCACUUGUCCACAAAGUCAUUAACAUCAU